GAUGAAGAACGUAGCGAAAUGCGAUAAGUAAUGUGAAUUGCAGAAUUCAGUGAAUCAUCGAAUCUUUGAACGCACAUUGCGCCCGCCAGUAUUCUGGCGGGCAUGCCUGUUCGAGCGUCAUUUCAACCAUCAAGCCCCAGGCUUGUGUUGGGGACCUGCGGCUGCCGCAGGCCCUGAAAACCAGUGGCGGGCUCGCUGUCACACCGGGCGUAGUAGAUUUUAUCUCGCUCAGGGCGUGCUGCGGGUUCCGGCCGUUAAAAAGCCUUUUUUACCCAAGGUUGACCCCGGAUCAGGUAGGAAGACCCGCUGAACUUAAGCAUAUCAAUAGCGGAGGA
rnacentral:misc_RNA from 1 species